UACGUAGGGUGCAAGCGUUAAUCGGAAUUAUUGGGCGUAAAGUGUGCGCAGGUGGUUAUGUAAGACAGAUGUGAAAUCCUCGGGCUUAACCUGGGAACUGCAUUUGUGACUGCAUGGCUAGAGUACGGUAGAGGGGGAUGGAAUUCCGCGUGUAGCAGUGAAAUGCGUAGAUAUGCGGAGGAACACCGAUGGCGAAGGCAAUCCCCUGGACCUGUACUGACGCUCAUGCACGAAAGCGUGGGGAGCAAACAGG
rnacentral:rRNA from 1 species